rnacentral:lncRNA from 1 species
GAGGUGCAGAAUGACUUUAUGAAGAAAGAAAAAAUAUUAAAAUAAUAUUAAUUAAGGUUAAAAUGGUAAUUUUUGGAGGUGCAGGAUGAAAGCUUAGAGGUGUAGGAUGAAACACCCGGAAAGUGAAAACCGUGGACCCAAUCUGAUGAGCCCAUCUCAAGCCCAACAUUCUUUUUACAUUUUUUGUUUAAACCCAUGACAGGCCCAUCAUUUCCUCACUCUUAUCUCUCACGUGAUGGAUGUAGUUUUCUUUUUAUAUAUAAUUUUGGAUAAAUGUUCUAAACUCGUGAAAUUAAAUUUUUAUAAUAAUUACAAAUUUUAAAUUACAAUAAACAAACAUCAUAUUAUUAAUUAUUAAACGAGUAUCUUAAUUUAUCAUGGCACGUAAAAAACUUGGAUAUAUGAUGAAAAGGGAAACACAGAAUCUGGUAUGGGAACAUCCUUGUUACGUGUUAGUGGAGAUUUGACGUAACAUGAUAUAAUGUUUAUUUAUUUAUUUUGGAAGCACUCCAAUGUCAUUUAUAAGUAG